GGGCGCAGGCGCUAUCUGCAGUCGAGCGGACGAUGGGAGCUUGCUCCCUGAUGUUAGCGGCGGACGGGUGAGUAACACGUGGGUAACCUGCCUGUAAGACUGGGAUAACUCCGGGAAACCGGGGCUAAUACCGGAUGGUUGUUUGAACCGCAUGGUUCAAACAUAAAAGGUGGCUUCGGCUACCACUUACAGAUGGACCCGCGGCGCAUUAGCUAGUUGGUGAGGUAACGGCUCACCAAGGCAACGAUGCGUAGCCGACCUGAGAGGGUGAUCGGCCACACUGGGACUGAGACACGGCCCAGACUCCUACGGGAGGCAGCAGUAGGGAAUCUUCCGCAAUGGACGAAAGUCUGACGGAGCAACGCCGCGUGAGUGAUGAAGGUUUUCGGAUCGUAAAGCUCUGUUGUUAGGGAAGAACAAGUACCGUUCGAAUAGGGCGGUACCUUGACGGUACCUAACCAGAAAGCCACGGCUAACUACGUGCCAGCAGCCGCGGUAAUACGUAGGUGGCAAGCGUUGUCCGGAAUUAUUGGGCGUAAAGGGCUCGCAGGCGGUUUCUUAAGUCUGAUGUGAAAGCCCCCGGCUCAACCGGGGAGGGUCAUUGGAAACUGGGGAACUUGAGUGCAGAAGAGGAGAGUGGAAUUCCACGUGUAGCGGUGAAAUGCGUAGAGAUGUGGAGGAACACCAGUGGCGAAGGCGACUCUCUGGUCUGUAACUGACGCUGAGGAGCGAAAGCGUGGGGAGCGAACAGGAUUAGAUACCCUGGUAGUCCACGCCGUANACGAUGAGUGCUAAGUGUUAGGGGGUUUCCGCCCCUUAGUGCUGCAGCUAACGCAUUAAGCACUCCGCC
rnacentral:rRNA from 1 species